rnacentral:rRNA from 1 species
AGCCAUUGUCGCGGUGUGUGGAAGAAGGUCGUUAUGGGAUCGUAAAGCACUUUAAAGCGGAGGGAAGGAAGGGGUUACUGGUAUCAAUACUACCAGCUACUGGACGUUACUCGCAGACUAAGCACCGGCUUAACUCUGUGCCAGCAGCCGCCGGUAAUACAGAGGGUGCGAGCGUUAAUCGGAUUUACUGGGCGUAAAGCGUGCGUAGGCGGCUAAUUGAGUCGGAUGUGAAAUCCCCGAGCUUAACUUGGGACAUUGCAUUCGAUACUGGUUAGCUAGAGUGUGGGAGAGGAUGGUAGAAUUCCAGGUGUAGCGGUGAAAUGCGUAGAGAUCUGGAGGAAUACCGAUGGCGAAGGCAGCCAUCUGGCCUAACACUGACGCUGAGGUACGAAAGCAUGGGGAGCAAACAGGAUUAGAUACCCUGGUAGUCCAUGCCGUAAACGAUGUCUACUAGCCGUUGGUCUCUUUGAGGGAUUAGUGGCGCAGCUAACGCGAUAAGUAGACCGCCUGGGGAGUACGGUCGCAAGACUAAAACUCAAAUGAAUUGACGGGGGCCCGCACAAGCGGUGGAGCAUGUGGUUUAAUUCGAUGCAACGCGAAGAACCUUACCUGGUCUUGACAUAGUAAGAACUUUCCAGAGAUGGAUUGGUGCCUUCGGGAACUUACAUACAGGUGCUGCAUGGCUGUCGUCAGCUCGUGUCGUGAGAUGUUGGGUUAAGUCCCGCAACGAGCGCAACCCUUUUCCUUAUUUGCCAGCACUUUGGGUGGGAACUUUAAGGAUACUGCCAGUGACAAACUGGAGGAAGGCGGGGACGACGUCAAGUCAUCAUGGCCCUUACGACCAGGGCUACACACGUGCUACAAUGGUCGGUACAAAGGGUUGCUACCUAGCGAUAGGAUGCUAAUCUCAAAAAGCCGAUCGUAGUCCGGAUUGGAGU